AAAUCCAAGUAUCUCAAUACUACCUUGUUCAGAAUUUAAAGAGAAAUCUUGAGUUUAUGGACUUCAGGGGGAGUAUGGUCAAAAGGCUGAAACUUAAAGGAAUUGACGGAAGGGCACACCAGGAGUGGAGCCUGCGGCUUAAUUUGACUCAACACGGGAAAACUUACCAAGACCGAACAGUAGAAGGAAUGACAGAUUAAGAGUUCUUUCAUGAUUUAUUGGGUAGUGGUGCAUGGCCGUUCUUAGUUGGUGGAGUGAUUUGUCAGGUUAAUUCCGGUAACGAACGAGACUGAAACCUAUUAAUUAGUUUUCUGCCUAUAAGACAGAAAUGUUCGCAAGAACAGGUGCGUAAGUACCACUUCUUAAAGGGACACAUUUCAAUUGUCCUAUUUUAAUUGUUAGUUAUCUAAUUUCGAUUAGAACUCUUUUAACGUGGGAAAAAGAAAAAGGAAGCAUUCAGCAAUAACAGGUCUGUGAUGCCCUUAGACAUCUUGGGCCGCACGCGCGCUACAAUGGAGUUACUAGAGAGCAUUUUAUCAUUUACACCUUAUUUAUUAGGCUAUGUCUAAUAGGUAGGGAUAGUAAGUGGUGUACCGAGAUUGAAAUAGUUAAGGAAAACUCAAAAGAACGUACAUGACAGGGAUAAAUGAUUUGAAUUAAUUGUUUUGAACGAGGAAUUCCUUGU
rnacentral:rRNA from 1 species